rnacentral:rRNA from 1 species
AGAGUUUGAUCAUGGCUCAGAUUGAACGCUGGCGGCGUGCCUAACACAUGCAAGUCGAGCGGUAACAGGCGUAGCAAUACGUGCUGACGAGCGGCGAACGGGUGAGUAAUGCUUCGGAAUCUACCCAGUAGUGGGGAAUAACCAUCCGAAAGGAUGGCUAAUACCGCAUACGUCCUACGGGAGAAAGCGGGGGAUCGCAAGACCUCGCGCUAUCGGAUGAGCCGAAGCCGGAUUAGCUAGUUGGUAGGGUAACGGCCUACCAAGGCGACGAUCCGUAGCUGGUCUGAGAGGACGACCAGCCACACUGGGACUGAGACACGGCCCAGACUCCUACGGGAGGCAGCAGUGGGGAAUAUUGGACAAUGGGGGAAACCCUGAUCCAGCGACGCCGCGUGUGUGAAGAAGGCCUGCGGGUUGUAAAGCACUUUUAGUGGGGAUGAAAAGCCUUGGGAUAACACUCCAGGGUCUUGACCUAACCCACAGAAAAAGCACCGGCUAACUCUGUGCCAGCAGCCGCGGUAAUACAGAGGGUGCGAGCGUUAAUCGGAAUUACUGGGCGUAAAGCGUGCGUAGACGGUCAUGUAAGUCGGGUGUGAAAGCCCCGGGCUCAACCUGGGAAUUGCAUUCGAGACUGCGUGGCUAGGGUGCGGAAGAGGGAAGCGGAAUUUCCGGUGUAGCGGUGAAAUGCGUAGAUAUCGGAAGGAACACCAGUGGCGAAAGCGGCUUCCUGGUCCGACACCGACGUUCAGGCACGAAAGCGUGGGGAGCAAACAGGAUUAGAUACCCCCGUAGUCC